rnacentral:lncRNA from 1 species
GGUUUGACAUGAGGUAAGCCGUGGAUUCGCCUUGUGAUUAUGAAUUUACCGAUAUCGGUUUAUCCAGCCUCGCAGGAAUUUCAAACUAAUUUGUCGUUCAUGUAGGGAAUUCAAAGCUGUCUCUUAGGUCUUUCUCGUUUCAUGAUAACUGGCAAAAUAUAUUUUGACAAAUACUUAAAUGGAAAAAAUUAAUUAACAUUGACUAGCCUGUGAGAUGAAUUUAUUCUUUACAAAUAGUCGUAAAAAGCUGAAAGAAAUUGAAAUCGUAUCAUCACGAUAGAUACAAUCGAAAAACAUACGUAAUCGACGUAAUUAGACUCGAGCACUGUGAUCAAUAAUAUGCUACAAUCAAGAACACGUGUGAAAUCGAGGCGAUAUUAAUCUAUUGCGACUAAUGCUAAUCAAACAAACGUCAUCGUCUUCCUUCAAACUCUACACAACGUACAAGUUUUUCAAAUUACAAGCUACCCACUUGAUAUUUUCGUCGCAAUUCCAUCAGCCUUUGCUAUGCAGAGAAAACGACUAGCUUCGUUAAUAAUACGUUACGACCGAAAAAACGUGAGAGAUCAAGGCGAGCCUAAUCUAUUACAUCACGACCAACCGGAUGAACGUUCGUUUUCUUUCAAAUCCCACGCGGUACAAGCUUUCCAAGCUACAAAAUCAUUUACUAAAGUAAUCUAUCCUAAUAAUCUCGUCAGAAACCCAUUCUUUACUACGUAGAAAUAGCAGAGCAUCGCUCAUCGAGGGACCAAUUGGAUACUCGACGACGCAAUUAGAUGUGACCACAUCCACCGAUAUUACAGUUGAAAAUUAUGAAUCUUAGUCGUAGAAAUAAAUGUAUAGGAACACUCACAUUACACGCGGAAAUGAUAUUAAAAUAGUUUCAUAUUUAUUUAAUAUGUGAUUUACAAGAUAUUCGUGGAUAUACAUUGCACUCGUCUCAGCACUCUUUUUGUUUCACCAUCUUUCUAUCACUAUGCGUACAGAACAGUUGCGUUGAGGUUAACUGAUAGAGGAACGAUUGGAUGAAUUUGUAAUAGAAAAUACAUUGAAAUAAGUAUAAGUACAGGUUAAGUGAUAGAGAAACGAGUGAACGAACUUGUAAUAGAAAAAUAUAUUGAAAUAAGUAUAAGUAUAGUGUAUGAGGUUAAGAUCAAAUAAACUGUUGCGAUUAUUUAUUAAUUUGAUGUAUGAUAUUGUUGAGGUUAAGUGAUAGAGGGACCAGUGGAUGAAGUGGAAUAGAAAAGUAUAUUGAAAUAAGUAUAGGCAUAAGUAUAAGUACAGAGGUUGACUGACAAAGCAACGAGUGGAUGAAUUUGUAAUGGAAAAAUAUAUUGAAACAAGUAUAAGUACACGUAUAGUGUAUGAAAUGAAAAUCAAAUAAAUUAUUAUCACUAUUUAUUAAUUUGAUAUAUGAUAUUGUCGAGGUUAAGUGACAGAGGGAUCAGUGGAUGAAGUGGAACAGGAAAGUAUAUUGAAAUAAGUAUAGGCAUAAGUAUAAGUACAGAGGUUGACUGAUAAAGCAACGAGUGGAUAAAUUUGUAAUGGAAAAAUAUAUUGAAACAAGUAUAGGUAUAAGUAUAGUGUAUGCUGAUGCAGAUCUGCACUCUUAUAGUGUUACAAUACAAUAAAAAGAAGAAUAAGGAGCACAUUCAUAUAUUUAUAGCAAAUGACAUUACCAAAAAGUUAACCUUGGUCACGGAUAUACAAAAGCAAAGAUGUAGAGUUUCUUUUGAAGUAAUUACUUCAACAGAAUACUAACGACUGUUUUGGUUUGCAAGUUCCAGAGGUAAACGUACUCCCAACAAAUUGUUAUUGCCGUUUCUUCUAAUCUUCAGCCAGAGUUACAUAAGAAUAUUAACUUUUUGUUCUACCGUCUGUCGAUAUAAAUAGAUGAACGUGCCCCCUA